ACUGCAGUGAAGGCACUUGUAGCA
rnacentral:ncRNA from 5 species